rnacentral:rRNA from 1 species
GUAAGGAAUAUUGCGCAAUGGGCGCAAGCCUGACGCAGCAACGCCGCGUGCGGGAAGAAGGUCUUCGGAUCGUAAACCGCUUUUCUAGGGGAAGAGGAAGGACGGUACCCUAGGAAGAAGUCUCGGCUAACUACGUGCCAGCAGCCGCGGUAAAACGUAGGAGGCGAGCGUUAUCCGGAUUUACUGGGCGUAAAGCGCGUGUAGGCGGUUCGAUAAGUCGUGCGUGAAAGCUCCCGGCUCAACCGGGAGAGGUCGUGCGAAACUGCCGAACUGGAGGGAGAUAGAGGCAAGCAGAAUUCCGGGUGUAGUGGUGAAAUGCGUAGAUAUCCGGAGGAAUACCUGUGGCGAAAGCGGCUUGCUAGGUCUACCCUGACGCUCAGACGCGAAAGCAUGGGGAGCGAACGGGAUUAGAAACCCCGGUAGUCC